GUUUUGUGAAGUCCAUGCUUUGACAGGUCAAAAGGGAACCUAAACCACUAGAAAAAUGGCUACAGUAUCCUCGACUUCAGGCGACUGGAAAACAGGGCUUUUUGACUGUUUUUCAGACAUGCCCAGUUGCUGCUAUGCGUUCUGGCUUUU